rnacentral:rRNA from 1 species
AUGCCGGAUGCUCCAGUUGACCGCAUGGUCCUCUGGGAAAGCUUUUGCGGUAUGGGAUGGGGUCGCGUCCUAUCAGCUUGAUGGCGGGGUAACGGCCCACCAUGGCUUCGACGGGUAGCCGGCCUGAGAGGGCGACCGGCCACAUUGGGACUGAGAUACGGCCCAGACUCCUACGGGAGGCAGCAGUGGGGAAUAUUGCACAAUGGGCGCAAGCCUGAUGCAGCGACGCCGCGUGCGGGAUGACGGCCUUCGGGUUGUAAACCGCUUUUGACUGGGAGCAAGCCCUUCGGGGUGAGUGUACCUUUCGAAUAAGCACCGGCUAACUACGUGCCAGCAGCCGCGGUAAUACGUAGGGUGCAAGCGUUAUCCGGAAUUAUUGGGCGUAAAGGGCUCGUAGGCGGUUCGUCGCGUCCGGUGUGAAAGUCCAUCGCUUAACGGUGGAUCCGCGCCGGGUACGGGCGGGCUUGAGUGCGGUAGGGGAGACUGGAAUUCCCGGUGUAACGGUGGAAUGUGUAGAUAUCGGGAA